rnacentral:rRNA from 1 species
GAGGAAUGGCGGCAGCUACACAUGCAGUCGAGCGGUAACAGAUCGCUAGCUUGCUGCCAUGCUGACGAGCGGCGGACGGGUGAGUAAUGCAUAGGAAUCUGCCCGAUAGUGGGGGAUAACCUGGGGAAACCCAGGCUAAUACCGCAUACGUCCUACGGGAGAAAGGGGGCUUCGGCUCCCGCUAUUGGAUGAGCCUAUGUCGGAUUAGCUAGUUGGUGAGGUAAUGGCUUACCAAGGCAACGAUCCGUAGCUGGUCUGAGAGGAUGAUCAGCCACAUCGGGACUGAGACACGGCCCGAACUCCUACGGGAGGCAGCAGUGGGGAAUAUUGGACAAUGGGGGGAACCCUGAUCCAGCCAUGCCGCGUGUGUGAAGAAGGCCCUCGGGUUGUAAAGCACUUUCAGCGAGGAAGAACGCCUAUCGGUUAAUACCCGGUAGGAAAGACAUCACUCGCAGAAGAAGCACCGGCUAACUCCGUGCCAGCAGCCGCGGUAAUACGGAGGGUGCAAGCGUUAAUCGGAAUUACUGGGCGUAAAGCGCGCGUAGGUGGCUUGAUAAGCCGGUUGUGAAAGCCCCGGGCUCAACCUGGGAACGGCAUCCGGAACUGUCAAGCUAGAGUGCAGGAGAGGAAGGUAGAAUUCCCGGUGUAGCGGUGAAAUGCGUAGAGAUCGGGAGGAAUACCAGUGGCGAAGGCGGCCUUCUGGACUGACACUGACACUGAGGUGCGAAAGCGUGGGUAGCAAACAGGAUUAGUAGCUCUGGGUUAG